rnacentral:rRNA from 1 species
GAAACGACUGCUAAUACCGCAUAAGCCCACGGGUCGGCAUCGACCAGAGGGAAAAGGAGCAAUCCGCUUUGAGAUGGCCUCGCGUCCGAUUAGCCAGUUGGUGAGGUAACGGCCCACCAAGGCAACGAUCGGUAGCCGGACUGAGAGGUUGAACGGCCACAUUGGGACUGAGACACGGCCCAGACUCCUACGGGAGGCAGCAGUGGGGAAUAUUGCACAAUGGGGGAAACCCUGAUGCAGCGACGCCGCGUGGAGGAAGAAGGUCUUCGGAUUGUAAACUCCUGUUGUUGGGGAAGAUAAUGACGGUACCCAACAAGGAAGUGACGGCUAACUACGUGCCAGCAGCCGCGGUAAAACGUAGGUCACAAGCGUUGUCCGGAAUUACUGGGUGUAAAGGGAGCGCAGGCGGGAAGACAAGUUGGAAGUGAAAUCUAUGGGCUCAACCCAUAAACUGCUUUCAAAACUGUUUUUCUUGAGUAGUGCAGAGGUAGGCGGAAUUCCCGGUGUAGCGGUGGAAUGCGUAGAUAUCAGGAGGAACACCAGUGGCGAAGGCGGCCUACUGGGCACCAACUGACGCUGAGGCUCGAAAGUGUGGGUAGCAAACAGGAUUAGAUACCCUGGUAGUCCACACCGUAAACGAUGAUUACUAGGUGUUGGAGGAUUGACCCCUUCAGUGCC